rnacentral:rRNA from 1 species
UACGAAGGGGGCUAGCGUUGCUCGGAAUCACUGGGCGUAAAGCGCACGUAGGCGGAUCUUUAAGUCGGGGGUGAAAUCCUGGAGCUCAACUCCAGAACUGCCUUUGAUACUGAGGAUCUCGAGUCCGGGAGAGGUGAGUGGAACUGCGAGUGUAGAGGUGAAAUUCGUAGAUAUUCGCAAGAACACCAGUGGCGAAGGCGGCUCACUGGCCCGGUACUGACGCUGAGGUGCGAAAGCGUGGGGAGCAAACAGG